CAUGCAAGUCGAACGGUGAAGCAGAGCUUGCUCUGUGGAUCAGUGGCGAACGGGUGAGUAACACGUGAGCAACCUGCCCUGGACUCUGGGAUAAGCGCUGGAAACGGCGUCUAAUACUGGAUACGAGACGUGGCCGCAUGGUCAACGUUUGGAAAGAUUUUUUGGUUCAGGAUGGGCUCGCGGCCUAUCAGCUUGUUGGUGAGGUAAUGGCUCACCAAGGCGUCGACGGGUAGCCGGCCUGAGAGGGUGACCGGCCACACUGGGACUGAGACACGGCCCAGACUCCUACGGGAGGCAGCAGUGGGGAAUAUUGCACAAUGGGCGAAAGCCUGAUGCAGCAACGCCGCGUGAGGGAUGACGGCCUUCGGGUUGUAAACCUCUUUUAGCAAGGAAGAAGCGAAAGUGACGGUACUUGCAGAAAAAGCGCCGGCUAACUACGUGCCAGCAGCCGCGGUAAUACGUAGGGCGCAAGCGUUAUCCGGAAUUAUUGGGCGUAAAGAGCUCGUAGGCGGUUUGUCGCGUCUGCUGUGAAAACUGGAGGCUCAACCUCCAGCCUGCAGUGGGUACGGGCAGACUAGAGUGCGGUAGGGGAGAUUGGAAUUCCUGGUGUAGCGGUGGAAUGCGCAGAUAUCAGGAGGAACACCGAUGGCGAAGGCAGAUCUCUGGGCCGUAACUGACGCUGAGGAGCGAAAGGGUGGGGAGCAAACAGGCUUAGAUACCCUGGUAGUCCACCCCGUAAACGUUGGGAACUAGUUGUGGGGACCAUUCCACGGUUUCCGUGACGCAGCUAACGCAUUAAGUUCCCCGCCUGGGGAGUACGGCCGCAAGGCUAAAACUCAA
rnacentral:rRNA from 1 species